rnacentral:rRNA from 1 species
AUUGAACGCUGGCGGCAGGCCUAACACAUGCAAGUCGAGCGGCAGCGACUUAACUGAACCUUCGGGGAACGUUAAGGGCGGCGAGCGGCGGACGGGUGAGUAAUGCCUGGGAAUAUGCCCUGAUGUGGGGGAUAACUAUUGGAAACGAUAGCUAAUACCGCAUAAUCUCUUCGGAGCAAAGAGGGGGACCUUCGGGCCUCUCGCGUCAGGAUUAGCCCAGGUGGGAUUAGCUUGUUGGUGAGGUAAUGGCUCACCAAGGCAACGAUCCCUAGCUGGUCUGAGAGGAUGAUCAGCCACACUGGAACUGAGACACGGUCCAGACUCCUACGGGAGGCAGCAGUGGGGAAUAUUGCACGAUGGGGGAAACCCUGAUGCAGCCAUGCCGCGUGUGUGAAGAAGGCCUUCGGGUUGUAAAGCACUUUCAGUAGGGAGGAAGGUAGUGUAGUUAACACCUGCAUUAUUUGACGUUACCUACAGAAGAAGCACCGGCUAACUCCGUGCCAGCAGCCGCGGUAAUACGGAGGGUGCGAGCGUUAAUCGGAAUUACUGGGCGUAAAGCGCAUGCAGGCGGCCUGUUAAGUCAGAUGUGAAAGCCCGGGGCUUAACCUCGGAAUUGCAUUUGAAACUGGCAGGCUAGAGUCUUGUAGAGGGGGGUAGGAUUUCAGGUGUAGCGGUGAAAUGCGUAGAGAUCUGAAGGAAUACCAGUGGCGAAGGCGGCCCCCUGGACAAAGACUGACGCUCAGAUGCGAAAGCGUGGGGAGCAAACAGG